CCAAAAUCAUGGUGUGUUGGUCCUCUUUGCCUAGCCAAACAGCCCAUCACAACCGACAACAACAAACACGAAACAUGGAGGAAAUGGCUCAACAAUAAAUUAACCGAAAAACAGCCCGUUCUGUACGUAGCAUUUGGUACUCAAGCAGAAGUUUCUGCCGAACAAAUACAAGAAAUUGCAAAGGGACUUGAAUUAUCCAACACAUAUUUCAUAUGGGUGACAAGACAAAAAGUUCUGGAUCAUUUGGCAGGGUUCGAGGACAGGGUAAAAAAUAGAGCAUUAAUAGUGAAAGAAUGGGUAGAUCAGAGUGAAGUGUUGAGGCACAAAAGCAUCAAAGGGUUUUUGAGUCACUGCGGAUGGAACUCAGUCUUGGAAAGUAUAUGUGCUAAAGUACCUAUUUUGGCGCUACCAUUUAUGGCUGAACAACACAUAAAUGCAAGAAUGGUAACUGAGGAAAUUGGAGUGGGAUUGAGGAUUAUGCCAAGAAAUGGAUCAGUGAGGGGUUUUGUUGAAGCUGAAGAAGUUGAGAAAAUGGCGAGAGAGUUAAUGGAAGGUGAAAGGGGAGAAGGUGUGAGGAACAAAGUGAAGGAAUUGGGAGAAAAUGCAGAGGAAGCUGUGAAAGAAGGUGGCUCAUCUUGGUCCACGUUAGGCCUUCUUAUUGAUGAUGCAUGCGCCGGAAAACUUUGAAAUCUUGAGUUAUUAGUCGGGGUAUGUCUAGAAUUUGAAGUGCAUGGAUUAUAACUUAAUUAAUAAGAUGACUUAGUAAGUUCGUCUAAAUUCGUACCUAAAAUUAUAACCCCCGCCCUCCUCCCCGGGACGCUGCUUAUUAGUGAUUAAUAAUCUAGUGUGGGUUUUUCAAGAGCUUCGUGGUCAUUCCCUGUUUAUGUUUAUAAAGCUUGGUGCAUAUUAUCUGUCCGCAAUAUUUAAUAGCCGCUUGCUUUAACUUGAUCAUCUAAUAAGUAGUUUGCAGUUUAUUACUUCCUCCCUACCAAAUCAUGUGUGAUCAUUUUCUUUUUAAUCCAUCCCAAAAUAAAUAUCGUUUUUCCUUAUUUGACAACUUUUUAAAGGCACAAUUACCCUUUUAUCCUUAUUAAUCUUACUUAAUUAUUUAUCAUCUUAAUAUAUGCAUAAUCUAUUAGAAUGUCCUAUAAUUUUAUUAACUUGAACCUUAAAUGUGAAAAGUUAAUUAGACGUAAAAAGUUAUCCAAAAUCGAUGAAAAACAUUCUAUUUCAAUUUUCAAUCAAUAUGAAUAGAGACGUAAAUAAAAAUAGAGACUAUGGCAUUGUUGAUCGUUUAUUAGUUCUACGAGCUAGGUGGGGCUUCAGGCUAAGAGUCAUUUUGGGCACUUUUGCACAUAAUAUUUCCUACAAGAAAUGGAAAUUAAAUAUCCCAUAGGGCAGGUUCUAGCCUUUUCUCCUAGGUAUGGUAAUUAGAAUGGAAGGUCAAGGUCAUCUUAUGGCUUCACAUUUUUCUUUUGUUUUUAAUUUUAGAGAUAAUACAUCAAAACCUUCUAAACUUAUCUUUCCAACUCACUUAGUACUUAAAUUUUAUGAAUAAUUAUUUAUCUUCCUUAACAUCUUUCAACUGAAUUAUUUUCACACCUUAUACUGACAUGACAUUUAAAAAAAAAAAAAGAAAAAGAAAUGCGUGAACGGUAAUUUUUUUUAAAAAAUACUAAUAUCUAUAUAUAUAUACAUAUAUAUUUCUCUCCUUCUUCUAACACUCCUCCCCCCGCCACCCCGGCCAUCCCACCCCAUCCUAGUCCCUCCCAAACCCGCCAACAACCACCACCAACACCCCCCUCCUAAAUCUAACCCCAAUUACUUCUUCAAUUACCAAAUCACACCCCUACUUCCAAUUUCUCCUCCUUCAUCCCCAAUAAAAAAAGAAAUGAAAUUGAAUUUAAAAAUUAAAAAAUUGACAUGAUUUGAAUAUUUAGUUGUUGAUUUUAGAGAAGUUAGUGCUGAUUUGAUCAAAUUUAUGAGGUGGUUGAGUUUUUCUAUCACUAUUUUAUGAUAUUUCUUUUAUGGUGGUAAUGGAGUUUUCCGGUGAAAAUUCGCCUGGAAAUAUGACGUGUGUGUGCAGGUGUGGCUGUGAGGGUGGACGGAGGUGGAUGAGGGUGUGUGUAGGUGUGGAAGUGUGGGGAUGGACAGAGUGUGUGCAGGCUGGGCGAUGGACAAGAGAGGGGGGAGAGGGGAUGAGGGGUUAUGAAGAAGAUGGAAAAUGGGGAUGGGGCGUGGGGAGGGGUUAUAUAUAUAUAUAUAUAUAUANNNNNNNNNNNNNNNNNNNNNNNNNNNNNNNNNNNNNNNNNNNNUAUGUGUACUAUUUUAAAACAUAUAUAUAUAUAUAUAGUAAAUAUAUUAUUUCUGCUUUUUAAAAUAAAAAUACAUAAAAAUAAUAUGUGUGUGGAAUUUUUCUUUUUUAAAAAAGUCUAAUUUUUUAUGUGGUAAUGAUCUGACACUGAUGUGGGAUUUAGCGCUAAUAUGGUGUUUGUGUAACCUACUCUUUGUUAUGAGAGUGGGCUUUAAUUUUAAGGUAUGAAAAUAAUUCAGUUGAAAGAUGUUAAGGAUAGUAACUAAUUAUUCGUAAAAUUUAAGUGAUAAAGUGAGUUAAGAGGAUAAAUUUAAAGAAAUUUUGAUGUAUUAACUCUUAAUUUUAUUCUUCUUAAAAUAAAAAUUAUAGAUUGCUACAUUUAAGUCAAGAUCUGCUAGCAGUCUUUGUUGAAAGUUCCAAGGGAGACUUGAGUACUGCCAUUGUACCUCUCGAUCAAUCAGAAAACUGCAAGUUGACUUCUCAAUACUUGAAUAUUGAUUCAUCAAUAAUCAAUAACCAUUACAGCGAACAAUAUCCUCGAUUGUCCCAUACGGUAGACAGCAUCUAUCAUAUAUUAAAUUCCAUCAUACUCUAUGCUCCCUCCGAAUCAAAUUAUACAUCAUAAAUUUUUUAAUUUAAUAUCUUAUUUUAUUUAUUUUUUACUAAUCAGAAUAAGAUAAUUUUUUUUUCUUCAUAUUUUACCCUUUGCAUUAAUUAUUUUUUCUUCAAAUUAAAUUAUAAACAUUAUUAAUAGGGAUACUAUGAUAAAUUAGGCAUGUUAUUAAUUAUUUUUCUUAAUCAAUAUGUUAUCUUAAUUUGGAACGGAAAGAGUACAUAAUAAGGUGGUGAAUCAAAUUAUACAUCAUAAAUUUUUUAAUUUAAUAUCUUAUUUUAUUUAUUUUUUACUAAUCAGAAUAAGAUAAAUUUUUUUUCUUCAUAUUUUACCCUUUGCAUUAAUUAUUUUUUCUUCAAAUUAAAUUAUAAACAUUAUUAAUAGGGAUACUAUGAUAAAUUAGGCAUGUUAUUAAUUAUUUUUCUUAAUCAAUAUGUUAUCUUAAUUUGGAACGGAAAGAGUACAUAAUAAGGUGGUGAAUUCUAUCGUCCCUGAGAAUAAGAAUGUUGUCCCUAUGUUUAAUUAUAUAAAUUUUAAUGCAGAAUACAUAACAUUCUGAUUGUGUUUCAUUUCAUUUGUAACUUUUCCUAUAAUGAGAGUGAUCGAGUUUGUGCCUGCUCGCCCGAGGACCAUAGCUAGAUUUUCUAUAUCUAUAAUUGGCCCCAAAAGUGCAGUAUAUGAUUACUCAUUUGCAACUUAGUCGCUUUUCUCUAAAACUUUAACCUUGCACAGUACGUAAUGCAUAUUGAUGGAUGUUUGAGAUGUAGUAACCACACAUAUUAAUAAUGUCUUUAAUUUAGUCUUCCCCUUGACAUCAAUUUAAGCCUAGUACUAUGCUAUGUUGAUAAUAUGUCGUAUUAUAAAUACAGGAUGAUAUAAACUAUAGAACAACGGGACAAAGCCAGAACCAAGUGCUAACAAGGUAUAUGCUCUCAAUCAACAUAAUGAAUAAAUAGCAGACAAACGGCAAUUCGGUCCAAGAACAUUGGACCAAACGACGACCAUCACUAUUUUUCAUCAACAUAGUGUGGAUUCCCUUGAAUUGUUACAAUUUUCCUAAGCUGCAGCCCACGGGCAGAGAUACCUUACCCAAAGGGUGGUAUCAAAAAAUAUCAUUUUAUAAGUGUAGAUUUAAUUUUACAUAUUUUUAACACAUUUUUGUCUCGGCUUAAAACAUUGCCUAGUUCUAAGUAUAACAGUUGAAUAACAAGACAAAUUAAAUAAGUGGUGGUCAAUUGAUCAUAGUCGUAUAAUUGACAGUUGAAUAACAAGACAAAUUAAAUAAGUGGUGGUCAAUUGAUCAUAGUCGUAUAAUUAUCAAUUAUGAGAUAUGUUGUGUCACAAAACUGAAACCGACUUGCUAAAUGUGUAUCAUUGAUUUAAAUUAAAUAGAAUUAUCCUUUUCUGAAGAACAGUAAUAUUGACGUAAGACAAUUCUAUUGGACAGUGUUAAAUUUUACUAAUAAAGAAAUGUAAAACAUAUUAUGUCAACAUUCUUGGCACUAUUUCUCUACAUCUUUGAACAUUAUGUGGUUCAAAAUAAUGCUUUGGGUAGGGAAAGAAAGGUGCCACCAUUAAAUCUUCACAAUUAAUUUGUUUGUUAAAUAGAAGUCUUACGCCGCCUUCCUGCGGUCACCAACGAUGUACUGUCUUAAUUGCUUAUUUCGAAAAUACUACGCAGUGUCUCAAUUUACAGGUACAUUUUAAAAUUUAAAAUGCAACCAUUUAAAUUUUGAUCAAAAAUUUUGCAACAUAGAAGUAAAAUUUUUUAAAUAAAAUUUAUAUAUUUAUAAAUUAAAUUAAAAAUACUGAUAAAUUUCAAUAAUUAACAACUAAAAAUAUUAAAAUGUCCUAACUAUAAAAGAAUGCAGAUAAGAGAAAAUUAAUUGACACUCAAAAUUUCAAUGAUAUAUAAUAAUGGGAAAAUUUCAGAAAUAGCAACUCUAUAGCCUUAAUUAUAACUUUUAUAGCAACAGUUUCAUAAUUACAAAAAGUAGCAAAUUGUAUUUGUAUUUAAGUAAAAUGUUGCUAUAUAAAUACAUAUACAAAUAUAUAUGUAUUACUCAUAAAUACAUAUGCACAACUGAAAAAUACAUAUUCUUCUAUUACUAUGAAGUGGGUAAAAUAUUGUUACUUUUGCUAUAAGUUGUAAUUUUGAAAAAGUAUUGCUAUUUAUUGUAAUUAUAGUCUUAAGGAUGCUAACUUUUGUAAUUUUUCUUAUAAUUAAUUGGGACGUAAGGAGUACCAUAAUUAACACCCGAUCAUUUUCACAUUAUACAAAAUAAUUUAAUCACAAGAAUUAGAAAUAAAAAUAAAAUAUGUUUAUCAAUUAAUCGUAAUUUUGAUGAUAAAAUUUUGAAGCGCGCGAAUUUAGUUUAUAUUCAUUUGCUUGCAUGUGUAAGAUCAACUACUCUGUCCCGCGGGGAUAGGGGUGUUCAUGGGUUUGGUUAAAAAUCAAAUCGAAUCGUAAAUCAAACCAAACCGAUUAAAAAAUCGACGUUUGGUUUGAUUUAGUUAGAUUUGACUUUAAAGUUUACAAAAAUCAAUGUUAUUUGGUUUGGUUAUGAUUUUACUUAAAAAAAAUCAUAAAAUAAUCAAACAGAACCGAUAAAUUUUAUUUAUAUAUGUAUAUAUAUUAUAAUUAUUUAUAUAUAAGUUAUAAAUAAAAUAUAAAUAUUUUAUUAAAUUUAAUCUUAAACUAAAUUUUAAUCUAUGUCUAGCCCAACCAAUACUUUAGCCCAAUUGCCCAAAGCCCCAAACCCAAGCUCAACUCUACCUACUAUUACUAAUAAGUUAACCCCAUGGUCCCUGCCUCACUUUUUCUACUUCAAUUUUCACAAUACGUAGUACAUCAACUGUUGCUUCUUUUGUUCUUCAUUGAAAAGCAGCACCACAUUAGCUUCUGUUGUUCUUCAUAGAAAGUAAACGAUAAAAAAAUUUCUUUUCAGUUUUUCAUCUCACAAGGAAAAACAAAAAUAAAGAUUGAAGUUUGGGAAGUGAAAACUGUAAAUACAAGAUUAUUAAAGCUUGGGAAGGUAAUUUUUAGUUUUUUUAUUCUAACUACCUUAGCUAAUUUUAAUUUUAUACAAGAAUUUAGAGGAGUGCAUGACAUGCAAUUAGUUUUUUUAAAUGAUUUUUUCUUCUGUUUCCUGUCAUUCGUACCUUUAAUUAUGAGCAAUUAUAUAAAUCAUUGUCGUUCUUUUGUUUAGUUGUUUACGAGUAGUAGAUUAUGCAAAAUUGAACUAAAUUUGAAAGAGGGGGCUCUUAUAGUCCUAGGCUAAGAAUUACCAAGGGAAGGGGUUUUCCCUCUCGUUUGUUUUGCAUUGAUGGUUCAUGCAACUGCAAGUGUUUCACUUUCUUCCUGCUGUUUAUAUUUGUGCCAUGUUUUCUAGAGUCUCGGCUAGCUCAGAUAUUGCAAUAUUUUCUUGUUUAGUUUCUUAACCCCCUAUAUCUCGUUUACGCUCGAUUUCGUAGUGUAGUCUUCUCUUCAUUUUUUGUGGAAUGUUUUCGGUGAUAAAAUCUAAUUCUAUUCUAUAGUAAAAUCCCAAAGUUUCAUGGGAUGGAACUUCAACCAGGCAAUGGUGCGGAGGAAUUUUAUUAAAUGUUACUGAAUUUUUAUUGAUGUACGGUUUGUGAAUAACCCAAGAGAGAUGGCAGGAACGAUGACUGCAACUGUAAUUCAUAUGUCGCUUCAUCUUCGAUAACAUAAACAAAGAAUCUUUCAAUCGAGUUACCAUGGUCCCUGGCUCAAAUGGUAGUUUUAUGUCUCCUUAUUUAUUCAAUCUUUUUUCUAUAUGAUUAGCUCACCUAGCUAGUCUAUAAAGUAAAUAGAUAACUCAAAUUUGUCCAACUCUGUCUCUUCUUGCAGUACACUACAACAGAAUAUAAAGCUUUAUUUUACAAUGUACAUGUAUGUGUUUGUAUGUUGUUGGAUAAUCUUAGUGCCUACAAUACAAAGCUAGUGUUUUUCAUCUCAAUGUUGAUUUUGUUUAAUGUGUUUAUUCUGAUUUUUAAGAAUUUAUAGUAUCAUUUGUCCAUCACUGUACAAAUAUUUCAUGAGAAUUUGUUCAAUUUGAUACUCUUUUCCAUGGGUUAAAAAAUGAGUUUAUUCUAGAGAUGGUUGGAGUAGGCUAGUCAAUAACAGAAAAAAUCGAAAAAACGAACCAAACCGACGGUUAUUUUCUUUUUGUGGUUUGGUUUGGUUUUAGAAAUUCAAUAACCAACUAAAUUAAUUUUUGUUAUAGUUUAACCACUAACCGAUCCAAACCUACACAUGAACACCCCUACGGGGGGAUCUACCAAAAAUCCACCAUCUUGAAGCAAUUGAUUGUGUCAUUUACAACUUUUUUUUUAAUUCCCAUUUGAUAUUCGCUAUUCUCUUGAACCCCGACUAAUUCGGAUCGCGUGUUGCAGGUCUAUUCUGGAGGUAGCGUGUAACAACCUCAAUUUCACACCACAACUCUAAUAUAUAUAUAUAAUACUUUCAAAUCUAAAUACAAAUAAGAAUUCGAACAACAAAGUAACAAUGGACAAACACUAAUGGGAAAUCAACGAGUAAUAGAGAAAGGAGGUAACUAGAAGGAGAUGAGAUAAUAGAUCAUUGAAGGAGAGUUGAGAGAAUAUAGACUAAGCCGAAGCUUCAACAUAAUUUGCAUAAUCUCUUCCGUAGGUAAUUGCUCUCAUUUAACGUGCUUGCUUAAAUCGAACCCCAAAUAAAAUCCACUCUUUUGUUGGGCUAUAACUUCACCUCAAGCUCAAGUCCAAAGCCCAUGACAAAGUUCAUAACAAUACCCCCUCCUCAAUAAGAACCUUGUCCUCAAGGUUCAAGAUAAAGAAUCCAGCAAAAAGUAAGUUAAAUUUUGACCAAGGUUUGAUGGAGCAUAGCUGGAUUUGAUAUUCAUCAGGUGCAAUAACCAUGUGACUCCUCGAUUCCCGCUUGAGAAAUUCAUUUGCAUGCAUAAGUAGAGGAGCAUAUGCUGAAAGGAUAACAUGAAUGGAUCCAGAAAUUAUCAAUUUGUCAUUGUAAAAAAUAAGAAGGCCCUACUGAGAAGUUGUUGCACAUUGCCUAGGGUCUUUCUCCAAUUUCCAUAACUUGUAGUUACAUGUAUUAUGCCAAAUAAACUUCUUCGAUGAACCUCCACCUGCAACCUUCACAACGUUUGUGCAUAUUCUAUCAGAAAUUCUUAGAGCUCUACAAAAUAUAGUCAGCUUGAACUCCAAAAGAUCCUCACUCCAACUUUUAACGUCUCCUGGCCACAAACCUCCGAAAGCAUCCAUGUAGAUGUCAUUUGGCCAAAGCGAUGAGUUUCUUAACAUUUUCAAUAUAGUGAACAAGCAAAGAAAUGCACUGUAAUUCAGAGGUAUAACAGAUGAUACGCCGCAAAUAUAGGAACCUGUUAUUUUUUCUAAUGUGGCUAGAUUGUUCUUCUCUUUCAUAUUUUUAAAAACUACCUUCAAGUUCUGUUCACAGUGAUCAUAGAAGGAAAGAGGAGCUACAACAUGCUCUCCACUAAGUUCAAAAGGACAAACAAAAGUUGAUAGAAAACAAGCUCUUUCACCCCACGGCCUAAGCUUAUGCUCUGAUAAUACCAUUAACCGAAUGAACUGCAAUAGGGACUCUGCUUGGAAACAAUUACUCCCAACAACAAUGCUAUCAACGAGACAACUCUGUAUCAUCUGGUAGCAUGAGGUAAGUUGUUGGUCCAUCGUCUGUGGUCGAAGUUCUUUGCCAAAAUAUAACAGUUGGCGAAAUAUGCCCACUACAUCAGAUGAUUUCCUUGAUUGAGCUAGUGAGGAAACAUGAGAUACUGACACAAUAGAUUUCAUUGGGUAAACAGAGUCUAUCAAAUCAGGUAACACAUCAUUAAAACUGUACGCCACUGCGAUUCUUGCAUCAACACAAAAUUCAUUUAUAUGUGUUCUCCAAAUGUCAUCUUUCAUCACGUUAUCAAAGACAACAUAUAUUGGAUCCGUUAAAUGACCCAAAAACAUCACAGACAUAUCAUAAUCAAGAAAAGUACCAGGAUAAAAAAUAAGAUAUGAUGAAGUUCGCCUUGAUAUAUGAACUACUCUAAACAUAGCAAACAAGAGCACAUCAUUUUUGUUGACCAGAAUAUUUUGCAUCUGUUUUGAGAAAUGCCUCGAACACCCCCUCUAUUUUUACUUCACUAUCAAGCUCUCUCAAUUUAGACAACAAGAUACCAUGAAGAUUACACUCUUGUCUAGUAUCAACCCAAUUGCAAGAAUUCCACAAGGUUGACAUAAUUAACUUAUCAUGAUACAAAUCGCCUAAAGCAAUACAAUAUACAUAAUUUCUUAUAACUCUAAGGAAUAUAGUAAGUAAAUUAGAUCCAGGAUCAAAUGGAAACUCUAAUCCAACUAAGGACAGUUCAAGCAUCUGCUGGAACCUUCUCAACCAAGUUGGUUAAAAUGGACAACUGAAUUAUCCAGUAAAGUUGCACCCAUAAAGUAUUGCACAACUAGAUAUUUUUUGGGCAAAACAAUAGAGCAUAACAGAGAAACAACCAAUAUUUCAGCCCAUUUCAUCCUUAGACAAGUAGGUAGUAAAGUUAUAUAAUAUAUCAGGAGUUGGAUAAGCAAUUUGGUCAAACACACAAGCUACAUAGUCUAUCUUCCAUAUGUUGACAACUUUUGUUUUCAAAUUUAGUGGAUUUCCUGCAUAUCUACGAAGUAUACCAAAUUGCUGAAGCCCACAUGUCAACGAAAUAGGUAGAGGAAUAGGCUCAUCGGGAUCAAAGAGAAGGUGCAUGGAUAUAUGAUCAGGCAUCAAGAUACUAACCAAAAUUAAGAGAGCAGUUCUUUCCCAUUGUGGUUCAAACACUUCAUGUGCAAUUAAAAAGUACUCAGGUCUAUAAAAAAAUAGCAAAUACCUGACCCACAUAAGCGUUUGAGUUCUCUUCAUCUUGGUAUGUUGUGACAUAACCUUUUCAUCCUCAAUAACCAAAGGAAGUUCACAGGUUUCAAUAUUAAAACCUAAUUUCCCUCAAUAUUCAAUCUUUGACUCUUGAUUUUUGUUGAGAGCCCGACUUAUAUUUUCAAAAUUAUCAUCGAUAACUUUGAAAAUAUAUGCUCAAUUCGUUGAGACAAAUCAUCAAACACCUGGACCUCAUGUGUUGCUGAAAAGCCCUUAACUGACUCGUCAAUCGCCGUACCUAGAUUUGAGACAGGAGAAUAUUCGACUGGUUUAGACAAGUCGAAAUCCUCCUCAUCUUCGCAAGACAAGUUCACAUUUGAAAGUCUGAUAUUUGUAGUGGCUGGCUGAGAGCAAGCCGAUAGUGCAAUGUGCAGAUCGUCAAGUUUGAUAGAAUAGUAACUCUCGUCUUACUUCUGCUGCAAAUUAAGGGCAAUGUCGACAUGGUUAUGUAUCAUGUUAGAGCCAUUUCGAAAAUGGAUUUUUAAUUUCUCAGUGAAAUACUUCUAAUCAAAAAAUUGCUUAUUGCGAUACAACCACUGGAACCAAUCAUAAGCAACACCAUUGAGAUAAAAGGGAGCUAGAGGUAGCCAGUCUUUCUCAGGGAAGCCGAGGUAGGCAAAAUAUUGCUCGGCACAACGAAUCCACCCUUCUGGGUUGAUGCUGCAAAACUUAUCGCGGACCAUCACUGCAAUAGGAGUACGAUCGAUGAAAGCACCAAUGUAAUGACCUCAAUUUCACACCACAACUCUAAUAUAUAUAUAUUAUGCUUCCAAAUCCGAAUACAAAUAAGAAUUCGAGCAAUAAAUUAACAAUGGUCAAACACUAAUGGAAAAUCUACGAGUAACAGAGAAAAGAGGUAACUAGAAGGAGAUGAAAUAAUAGAUCAUUGAACAGGAGAUGAGAGAAUAUAGACUAAGCCGAAGCUUCAACAUAAUUUGCAUAAUCUCUUCCAUAGGCUAUUGCUUCCAUUUAACGUAUUUGCUUAAUCUGGAUCCCAAAUGAAAUCCACUCUUUUGUUGGGUUGUAACUUCACCUCAGGCCCAAGUCCAAAGCCUAUGACAGAGUUCAUAAAAUAACGCUCUCAACAGGAUUUUCUCUAUAUUUUGAACUCGAACUUAAGACCUCUUAUUAAGGAUAUAACAAUCUCAUCACUAUGCCACACCGGAUGUUGAUCGCCUACAACAUCAAAAUGGCAACCAGUUGGACUUGGAUUUCAUCAAUCCCUCGUGUAGACAUUUGCUGAUUAUUUAUUUGCUUUUGAGACAUGUUUUAUACCAAUUUUGUUGUUUUUACGCAAAAUGCCUUAAUUUUAUCGUAUGUACUUGUGUCCAAAACAAAAACAGUUCUCUUUUGUUCAAUUCGAUCGAUUUCGUUUUUAUUUGUUAUUAUUUUUUAAUUUAAUUUUUAUUUUUGCUAAUCAAUUUUGAUAUAUUAAUAAUUUUUUUUUUCUAUUUUAUCUUAGCAGUAAUUAAUUAUUCUCUAAACUAUUUUCAAGACAUAUAUUACGCUAAACAUCAUUUAAUAGGGGUGGUAUCGUGAAAUAUCCGUAUUAAUUAUUAUUUUCUUAAUAAUUGUGUCAUGUCAAAAAGUGACAAGUAAAAGCUAACAGUCACAGACGAAAUAUAAGGACAUAUUCACUAAUAAUUUAUUGUUUAUACUUCCUCUGUUUGUUUUUACUUGCAUUGUCACUAAUUCCUAAUUAAAUUUCUAUUCACUAAUUCCUAAUUAAAUUUCUAUUUUUACUUGUCAUUUUUGACACAUCACGAAAAGAUAAUUUUUUUUCUAUUUUAACCUUAGAUUUAAUUGUUUUUUUUUUCCAAAUUAAUUUCAAGGUACUCCCUCUAUUCCAAAUUACCCGUCCCAAAUUGAAAUAACACAUUGAUUAAGAAAAAUAAUUGAUAACAUGCCGAGUUUACCAUAGUACUCCUAUUAAAUGAUGUUUACAUUUUAUUUUGAAGAAAAAGUAAUCAAUGCAAAGGGUAAAAUAUGAAAAAAAAAAUUGUCUCUUCUUGAUUAAUGAAAAAAGACGAGUGAAAUGGAAAAUCAAAUUAAGAAAUUUAGGACGGAGGGAGUAUAAUGAAAGCAACAUUUUAUAGUGAUAUUAUGGUGAAAUAGUCAUGUUAUUAAUUAUUUUCUUAAUAGAUGUGUCAAUUCAAAAUGUGACAACUAAAACCGGGGGAAUAUUAUCUUAGAACUAGCUGCAUGAUCAGCAUCGUGAGCAGUCAAUUAGGUGGAAGUAUGCUGUUAGUGGAGUUAAUGAGGUUGUUAGAGUUUGUUAACAGUGCACGUCAUAUAUAGGCACGUGCGGUAAAAUUAAUCACUCAUAUUUAUUAUUCGAGACAAGUAUCAAUUGCCCUCUGAACUUGUUAUGUUUUAUUCAUGGUACAUCUGAACUUUGACUAGUUCUAGGUACCCCCUUCCCUCCCCCUACCUCGAACCUAUUCUUUUAGUACGUCGCAUGGCUCUUUUCAGUUGAAGGAUCAGAACGUGUAAAACACGCAUGUACAGGUUAAAAAAAUGCCUACGUGUCUGUACACGUGGAUAAAUACCAUUCACUUUCCUUAUAUUAAUUCUAUAUUAAAAAUUAACCCACUUCUAUAUUUAAUUAUCCGAUUUCUCUCAAAAAAAUUAUAUUUUUCAAUUUUCCUCUACUCCGAAAUAGUGAAAGGUUGAAUUUCAUCGAUCAAGUAAGUUAUUAUCUGAAAAAAUUAUAUUUUUUGUAUGUUAAAAAUAUAAAAUUAUUUUUUUCGGUUAGUGUUUCAUAGUAGUUUCCGAUUAGUGUUUCGAUUAGGAUUUUGAGGAGACUUACAUGCACAAAUACAUUUCUUAUUAUAAUUAAUGGAGUAAGCAAUUGCAAUUUAAGUUAGGGGUGUACAAAAAUAGAGCUGAUAAAAAUGUUAUUGAUUUAUCUUUAUCGGUUUACUGAUUUUAUAAAAAAAUUAUUGGGUUAUUGAUUCAAUUUCAAUUUUUUUUAUUGGGUUAUUGGGUAAAUCGGUAAACCCAAUAAGUAUAUAUAUCUAUAAUCUAUCUAUAUCUAUAAUAUAUUAAAAAUGUGAAGACCAUUAGAAAAAUGAUUGAACUUUUUGCCCUUCAUUAACUCACUCCAUAAUAGACAAAAUCGUCAUUUACUAUUUUUUAAAAAUAAUUAUUAUUAAAUUAUUAUUAAAAUGGUUAGAAUAAAAAAAAAAAGAAAUAAUCCCACACCUGAAAGGAAUUAAAUAUAAUGAGUCAAACUUUUUGUUAGGAGUCCUAUUUAGGAGAAAAAUGAUGUAAAAGGAAAAAAAAAUUAAGACAAAUUUAUAUUUGUUGAAAAAAGAAAUACGCAUGACAACUUUUAAGGGAAAAAUUUUUUACUAAUCAAAGUAUAAUUCCUUUUAAAGAAAAAAUCUAUGCAAAAGGAAAAAGUUUAUUUGAUUCAGAUAAGAAAUCGUAUUAUUAACACUUCUAAAUCAAUUAGAAUUUUACCUUAUAUAAAAAUUUCUAAAUCAAAUAGAACUUUACCUGAUAUAAUUUUUUUUUUUUACCUUAUAUAAAAAAAAGAAUGUCUAUUUUUUUUUUACCUUAUAUAAAAAAAAGAAUCUCUAUAAUUCUAUUUAAGUCGUAUUUUGAUCAAAGUUUACUUGAAAAAAUUUUGAUUUUAAUAAUUAAUAAUUAAUUGAAGAUUUCUUCUUGGGUUCAUGACUAGAGUUUUCUAACCUUCUUUGUUAGAUGAAUUCUCUUUUAAUUUUUGAUUGCACGCAUUUAGUUUAAUUGUGAAUAAAUCAUGAGAUCUAAUGUAUCAUCAUUAUGUUUGUUAAUAAACUUUAUUUGUUGAAUUUUUUGAGGAGUAUGACAACUCAUGCAUUCUUCCAGAAUUUGUUUCCCCUAUCAUCCACCACUUUAAUUUUAGUAUUGAUUUCAAAAUACGGUCAUCAGGUACAUAUUGUUUUCAUAUUUUUAUCGUCUUGAGAAAAAUGACAGUCGACAUCCUUUUGAUUCCUUUUCUUUGUUUAUCUCAAUUGUGGGAGAUUUUGGCAUAUUGGGAUCAUUAAAUCUUUCAUGUAAAUAGGUCUAGAAAAAUGAGAAAGGGUUUAUUACUAUAUUUCCUGUUUGUAUGAAAACCUUAAUUUGGUGUUAUUGUGAUCUCCACAAUACAUUCAUGCCGGUCAUUGAGAUAUCAAAAGAAAGCCAAAUCAAAUAUGAGUUGGACAACAAAUUCGAUCUUAUUAAGAUAUAUGACACGAUGAUCUAAAUUAAGGUAGCUCUAAGCGAUCUCUGAGGAGAAACAUGAUCAAACAGUAGUUGAAGAGGUGAUUUUAAUUUCUUUUAUCAAUUCAAAUAACUAUUUUUCUUUAAUAAAUGAUAUUUUGCAACUUGCAAGCAUAUUUUUUCAUUCGAAGUGUUAGUUCAAAAUUGGGACAUAACUCCUUUUUACUAUCUAUUUUUUUUUAAUUGUAUAUAAGCCAAAGUUAAAGUCUUCUAGCAAAAUUAUUUAUUUUAAAGUUAAUGACACUUUCUAAUGAUUUUAUUGUUUGCAUAUAUUUACUUAUGAUACUAUGUUUAGGACUUAAGUAUACCAAAUCCUUUAUAUUCAUUAUUUACGGAAGGUAAAUAUAUCUUUUUAAUUAUAUUAUUUUUGUAAUUGAUAUCUUUUUAAAUAUAAUAAAUAUAUGUAAACAUGGUUGAUCAUAAAUAUACCUUUUAAAUAUAGUCAAUUUUAAUUAUUUUUUAUUUAUUUUGUGAAAGUUUGUAAUGUAAGCUUUGCAUAACGUCAUAUUAUUCAAUUUCAAUAAUAAUAUUUUUCUAGGUUUACAAAUGUAUUUUUUACUAUAGAACUUUAUGAGUUAAAGCUGUAAUUUUUGUUAUGAAUUUUCAUGAUUUUUAGAUUUAUUUUUUUAUGAACAAAAAUAUUUAUAUUUAUUUGUGCUUGAUGAAUAGAAUGUUUGAAUUUUGUGGGCAUGAAAAUGUAUUACAUUAUAAGGUGUGUUAAUACCCCAUGAAAAUGAUUAUGUGGUCAAUUUUUGAAUUUUUUUAUUUGGCAGGUUAGAAAAAAAUUUCUGUUAAUUUGAAUUUAAAUUGUUAAGUUGUUAAUUAAUCAUAUUCAUUAUUUACAUGAAUUUGCAUUCUAUGUUAAAGCACACAUCGAAAACUAAUUUAAAUAAUAAAGAAGAUCUAAAUAAAAUAUUAAUUGAUUAUAAAGGUCCUAAAUUAAAUGACAUGAAAGAUAUUGUGGUUACAUAAUGCAUUAAAUUAAGUAUAUGUUUGAAAAUACCUUAGGUCCAAGAAUGAGAGAUUAGAUUAAAACAAAUUUAACAAAAAAAAAAAAGAGUUUUAACUUCAACUAUUUUCAUGAAUGAAAAAAAAUUAAUUUUGUUUUAAAAGUAUUUUUGAAAAAAUACAUUUAAAAGCACUUUUAAAAACUUUGUCAAAUAUUUAUAGUUAAGUUAUAUACAAUAGUUGUUCUGUUUUUAAAUUUAUUAGUCAAACACAAAUUAUUUCUAGCCGAAAAAUAGAUAUCAAAAUAAUUUUAUAAAAUUAAACUCAUUGAAGCAAAUUACACGCGUGGAACGUGUAUGCUAAAUCUAUAUAUAUAUAUAUAUAUAUAUAUAUGAGUAGGAUUUUAGUUGCAACUAAAAUUCGAUUUCUCUUCAUGUUAAUUACUACUUUUUUUUAUUUUAUGAGUAUUUUUUUAUCAGUUAAAUCAAAAAUUAAAGCGUUAGGGACUAAAAAUUGUUAACCAAUAUAAAUACAUACAAUCGAAGAAUCUGCAUUUGAAAUUGUCAUACGAUCAUGAAAUUCUCACAAUUGGACGAGAUCCACAUGCACAAACAAGCCUCCUAUUAUAAUUCAUGGAGUUAGAAAUAAGUAGAUAAAGUAGAAGCAAUAGAAUGAUUUUUUUAUUUUAGAUUGAAAGUGAUGGAGGAAGAGGGAUAAUUGAAUUUUUUAAAACAAAUUAAAGGAAAAUAAAGUUUUUUCAUUUUUUUAUAAUUGAAAAUGCUGAUUUGGCCAAAAAAUAACUCCAUCGCGCAUGUGAUGAAGUGUGAAAUCAAAUAUUUUGCCACAUUAGCAAAAAAGGGACACUCGAUGUAGAAAAAAAAUAAGAUUGAGGGGGGUAGGGGGAAGGUAUUUAAGACUAGUCAAAAUUUAAAUGUACCAUAAAUAAAAUGUGAUAAGUUCAGGAGGUGAUCGAUACUUCUCACUUAUUAUUAAGGAGGAUAAUACAAUUAAGAAAUUUUCAACGCAAGAACAUGCACCAAUUAUUAUCUUCAAGCACACUUCACUCUCUUUGUUCUAAUUUAAUUAGGUGACAUACUCACUCCGAGAUUCAAUUCUAAGAGAUUUUACUUUCCAAUAGUAGAGUCCGGAAUCAAAAUAUGUCAUGAAUUUUAAAAAAAAUAUUAAAAUAUGUCAUAUGUGACCAUAAUAUACUUAGCUCACUUUUUAAGUAAGUUAUAUAAUAGAUGUUACAUAAUUCAUUUUUUAAGUGAGUUUUACAUUUUUUUCUAUAUAACACUCACUUAAAAAGUGAGUUAUGCAUAUUUUUUCUACAUAAAUAUAAUAAAAGUUAUAUAACUCACUUUAUAAAAACUUACAUAUUAUGUGAACAAUCAAUUUAUCUUUUUAAAAUUUUAUUUUUGGAAAGAAGACCAAUUAAUACAAAACGAAGGAUGUAAAACUCACUGAUUAUGUGAAUUAUUCAAAUAUAAAUAAGUAAAAAAAAUGAGUUAUCCAUUGAAUAUAACUCUUAAAAUAUGUGUGAUAAAUGCAUAACUUUAUUAGUGAUAUGAAAUAAGAAUAUGGUGCUAAAAAUAUAUGAAUUAUGCAAUACAAAUUAUAUACCACACAACUAGACGUAAGGAUGGAGUAUAUGCUCAUUAAUUGUUAUAUAUAUCAUACAACUAAUUUUUUUUUUUAAAAAAAUAAAACACAUAGAGAAAGUUGUUACAUGUACUUUCAAAAUAUAUCAUACAAAGUUGAUAUGUUCAUCAAAAACUUUUGUGGCUCCUCGUCCACCCCUCUGCACCGGUACAACACCUCCACGUCCACAUCUACGUUUGCAUCCUCCCCCUCCUGUCACACCCCCUUUUUAACUCCAAAAAGAUCCGUUUUAAGUUUCGAAAGAGUUUUUAUUAUUAAAGUGACAAAAUGAAGAUUUGUUCCGAAAAAGAAUUAUUUUCAAUUAACUCAGAGUCACCACUUGAUAUAGAUCGAGUGUGCCAAGUCACCUUUGGAAAUCCUUUUCAAAAUGAUUUGACUCUAAAAUUCGGUUUGCGAACAGAGAUUCCAACUAAGGAAUUCUGUUGACCGAUGGGAAGGUGAUAGGCAUCCCUCGAUCCCGUGGUUCGACCACGGUUGCUUGGUGGAGCGCAUCGGCUAAUUUGACACUACGAAUGUAUAAACCACACAAAACACAUAAAAACAAUCAAUCAAACAAACAAAACAAAAACAAUUCAAAAUAUAAUGUCCAGUUCAAUUUAUACAGUCCCAAGAUAGAAAAAUGCGAAAAAGUAAACCUAUGCUAACCUACACUAAUCCUAAACUACGAUCCCAUGCUUUACCCGAAGCCUCGAGCCUUGAUCACGAACCUUCUUUGCGUACAUGAUACUUCGAGGCAUUUCCCGAUGAAUAAGUACAGUAUAACCUCAAGGCAUUCCUCGACGUAUGAAUACAUCUUCAAUUCACAUUCAAACAUUCAACAAAACACAAUUCCUAAAAUUUACCUACCCGACUUAGCAUUUGCUUACUAGAUUCAGUUUAUCACAGUUCCAACAAAUUCAAUAUAAUCAAAGAUCCAAAAAUUAACAUGAAUUUACUUCAUCACUUUUAACCCCUUCCAAAAUUCAUUUCUCAACCAAACGAUUAAUCGAUUUCAAGGUAACAUCAACCAAUCAAAUCAUGAUAAUUAAAGAACGUCAAACACACUAUCAGAAUUAUAUCAUCAAUCAACACGAACCACGCAAAUCACAACAUUAACACAUAAUAUUACGAUAAAAAUGAAAAAAAUAAAGUUGAAGAAUUGAAACUCAAAUUGAUGCUUUGUUAAACGGAGAAAAAGCCUCACAGAUUCGGAACCACGAACUUACAGAACCUCGACCCAAAUGGAACCUCAACAUCGCACAAACCAACUACAACAUAGACCCAUUACUAUUUCUCGCCCCAACAGAUCAGAAACCACAAAAUGAUGAAGACCCAUACUCAUCCCAUAUCGUUUUCCGAUGGAUUCUGGUGAAUAUUCGCAGGGAAGGGGACGGGAAUGGUUGCUGAAUGCGACUUGGUCAGAAAAUCGGGUGAAACCAGUGGUGGUCGGUCGAAUUCCGGUAGAUUCUGAGCUAAUGGGUUUUUCUCCGGCAAGUUUCCGGUAAGAACUUGCCGGAAACAGCUAAUCUUUAUCUAUUUUUUCCUUUCUCUAUCUUCUUCUCACCCAAUUUCUUUUGUUGUUCUCCCUCAAUCUCUCAAAUCUCCUCUCUGUGCGUAUCUAUCAGUUUUUGUAUGUGUUCUCUCGUGUGUGGGUUUUCUGAGAGUGUGUGUGUGCGUGUUACUGUGUAAAAGAAAAGAAGGAAAAGAAAAUGGAGUCUGUGAGUGUUUGAAUGGAGAAGAUGAUGUUGCCUGUGUUCCUUUGCUGUAUUGUGUAUAUACUCCCCCUUUCUUUGGGGAAAAAAAAUAUGGGGGAGGGGCUUAAAGGGUAAGGGUAGGGGUAUAGGUAUAGGUAUAGGUGGGGUAGGUUGUUAAGAUGAGUUCUAAAGUUGAUUAGGAUAGUAUUAAAAUAAGAUAGAAUUUGUAAGAAAUUAUGUUAAGGAUUAUUUUUUUUAUAUUUUUGUGAGGUAUAAUUUCAUGGAUGAGGAUAUGUGAUAACAUAAGCUAAAAUUAAAUAAAACUAAAUUUGAAAGGAAUAAAAUUAAGUGUUACACCUCUUCAUCCAGGACCCACCGGUGGCUCCAUAUACUCAACACCUGAAAAAUGGGCCCCUCAAGGACCUGAUCAGCCUGGUCAAAUAUAACAACAAUGUGCUGACUAACAUAAGUACGACAAGCAUGGUGUGCGGGGUCCAACGUCCGCUGUAAUGCCUGUUGAUAUAAAUGUUGGCGCCUUGUGGUCAUCGCCAAGUCUGAAGGCGCCAUCGACAUGUAACAAGAAGCUCUACGAGUAGGGUUUGCACAAUAGCAUCCGUUCAUGUUUGACGAACGUUUUUGAUGAAUGUGUCAACUUUAUAUGAUAUAUCCUGAAAGUACAUAUAACAAUUUUAUCUAUGUUUUUUUCUUUUUAAAAAAGAUUUUCGUUGUAUGGUAUAUAUAACAAUUAAUGAGCAUAUACUUCAUCCUCACAUCAAGUUGUGUAGUAUAUAAUUUAUUUUGUAUAACUCAUAUUUUUAGCACCAUAUUCAUAUUUCAUAUCACUAAUAAAGUUAUGCACUUAUCACACCUAUUUUAAGAGCUAUAUUCAAUGGAUAACUCAUUUUUUUUACUUAUUUUAUAUUUGAAUAACUCACAUAAUCAGUGAGUUUUACUCCCUCCGUUUCGUAUUAGUUGACCUUAUUUCUAAAAAAAUAAAACUUUAAAAAGUUAAAUUGAUUGUUCACAUAAUAUAUAAGUUUUUAUGAAGUGAGCUAUAACUUUUAUUAUAUUUAUGUAGAAAAAAAAUGCAUAACUCACUUGUUAAGUGAGUUAUGUAACUUUUAUUAUAUAACUCACCUUUAAAGUGAGUUAUGUAGAAAAAAAAAUUGCAAAAAUCACUUAAAAAGUGAGUUGUGUAACUUCUAUUAUGCAAUUCACUUUUAAGUGAAUUAUGUUGAAAAAAAUGCAUAACUCACUUAAAAAGCGAGUUAUGUAACUUCUAUUAUAAAAAGUGAGUUAUGUAAAAAAAAAUAAGUUAUUAUGUAUUUUUUCAGAUUUUUAACUCCGUUUAAAUGAGUUAUUAUGUACUUUUUCAGAUUUUUGACUCAGUUUGCUACCUGUCGUUAAAGAUAAUUCAUAUAACUCACUUUUUAAAGUAUAUUAUAGUCACAUUUUAUAUACAUGACAUAUUUUGAUACUUUUUUUAGUUUCAUGUCAUAUUUUGGUUCCAGACUCGCAAUAGUAACAUCAUACUCACUCCAUUUUUUUUAAUUGUGUCCAUCAUUUUUCAUUAGUCAAUUUAACUAAGUUUUAAAACUAAAUUAGAUUAGAUUAAUUUGAAUUUCAUAAAUUAAAUUUUAGAUAUUAAAAAACUACAUAAAAAGUAUUGUAAAUUGCAUUUUUUUUUUAAAAUUUGAUUAAGAAAUACAUCUUAAAAUGUUGGUUAAAAUUUGUAUUGUUUGAAUCUAAAAAUGAAAAAAAAAUGGUUGAGCAAUUAAAAAGGAAUGAAGGGAGUAUCUUUGUAUUUUUCAACCUCAAAUCACCUUUUUUUUUUUUCAAAAUAAUUUUUUAUGAUCAUUGGUUCAUAUCUUCUAAUCCUCAAUGAUUUAUUGAGCAUGAUAGGUUGAAGUAUAAUGUGACAAAUCUUAAUAUAAUAUUGUCAUUGCAGUGAAUUGCUAAUUUUUUUUACUUCUUUUAAGGUGACACCGUUUAUACAAAAUUCUGCAGACGCUACUGGAUUUUCACAACUACUUCCUUAGGAGUUGUCAAAUUGCUCACUUGUCAAAUUGCAUAAGAAUUUGAAAUGUUUUAAAAGUUUUCACAAAUUGUGUGAUUUUCAAAUUUAUGUGAAACGUACUUAUAACUUUAAAAAUUCUAAUGGCAUAUUAAUUAAGAAAACAUUCAGUAGUACUAUAUUUAACACCACUCCCUUUGCUUAGAUAUCAAUCAAUACCAUUUUCAUUCUGAGUGGAAAAGAACCAAAACAGAAAUGGGGACAGUUGCAUCACCACACUUUGUGAUAUUUCCUUUCAUGUCUCAUGGCCACACCAUCCCUCUCCUUCACCUUGCCACCCUUUUGCGCGGGCGUUUCAUCGCUGUCACCGUCUUCACCACCCCUGCAAAUGCCCCCUCCAUUCGCGAUUUUCUACAAGACGUAUCCAUCUCCAUUAUUGAUUUUCCUAAAGGUGUACUUGGCAUCCCUUCCGGUGUUGAAAAUACUGAGAAGCUUCCGUCCAUGUCCUCUUUUGGUCAAUUUGCAAAUGCUACAAAGCUGAUGCAGGCUCUGUCAGCUUUGCAGCAUCCGCCAACGUGUGUGAUAUCUGAGGCAUUUCUUGGAUGGACUCAAGAGUCAGCCGAAAAAAUUGGUAUCCCGAGAUACUGUUUCUUCGGUACGAGUGUCUUCGCUACUACCCUGUGUCAAAUUAUUCGGAUAGAACGUCCUCAUUCUAAAACAAUUUCACCAGACGAGCCUUAUGCAGUUUCAAGUUUUCCAUGGUUGAAAUUGACAAGAAAUGAUUGUCCACCUCCGUUUGGAGACCUUGAGCUAAAAGGUCCAGCCGUGGACUUUAUGAAAGAGCAAGGUAUGUUUGCUUAUCAUGGUAAUUAGUGUCUCAAAGUUAGUUUAUGUCUAUUUAUUUAUCAAUACGCUCCAAUCUUUCACAUUUUCUUUUAAUCAAUCAAUCCUUCACACAUGCAAACACGUGAAAAUAUGCUUUUUGCAAAUUUUAGUUUAAAAUACCAUACAUGCUCUAAUAUCACAUUGGUAAUCAGCUUAUAAUACAUGGAAGAUAUUGUACACUUCUAACAUCCCUCCUUUCAAAUUUAUACAUGAAGCAAUGUUUGACUAUACGGACUUCAAGAAUGAAAUGAUUAAUUUCAACACUUCAAGUUUUAGACAGGCAUUAUAUUUUGUAUAUAAAUCAACUCAUAAAGAGUAAAAUACAAACUUCGAGUGUAGAUCAUUCUUUAAAAUACAUUAACAGAGAAAACAUAAUCCAUCCAUUUUAACAAAUGUGGUGUAUUCAUGUUUAUUAUUUGUGUCGACAGUACUUAAUUACUUUGCAAAGAGCCGUGGCAUGAUCACCAACAGCUUUUACGAACUGGAACCAAGAUUUGCAGACUAUUGGAACCAACACUUUGGACCAAAAUCAUGGUGUGUUGGUCCUCUUUGCCUAGCCAAACAGCCCAUCACAGCUGCAGCACUCGAACACGAAACAUGGAUGCAAUGGCUCAACAAUAAAUUAACAGAAAAACAGCCCGUUCUGUACGUAGCAUUUGGUACUCAGGCAGAAGUUUCCGAGGAGCAAGUUCGAGAAAUAGCAAAGGGGCUUGAAUCGUCCAACACAUGUUUCUUAUGGGUGACAAGACAAAA
rnacentral:lncRNA from 1 species